rnacentral:rRNA from 1 species
AUUGAACGCUGGCGGCAGGCUUAACACAUGCAAGUCGAGCGGAGGUGAGGUGCUUGCACCUUAUCUUAGCGGCGGACGGGUGAGUAAUGCUUAGGAAUCUGCCAAUUAGUGGGGGACAACAUUCCGAAAGGAAUGCUAAUACCGCAUACGUCCUACGGGAGAAAGCAGGGGAUCUUCGGACCUUGCGCUAAUAGAUGAGCCUAAGUCGGAUUAGCUAGUUGGUGGGGUAAAGGCCUACCAAGGCGACGAUCUGUAGCGGGUCUGAGAGGAUGAACCGCCACACUGGGACUGAGGCACGGCCCAGACUCCUACGGGAGGCAGCAGUGGGGAAUAUUGGACAAUGGGGGGAACCCUGAUCUAGCCAUGCCGCGUGUGUGAAGAAGGCCUUAUGGUUGUAAAGCACUUUAAGCGAGGAGGAGGCUACUGAGACUAAUACUCUUGGAUAGUGGACGUUACUCGCAGAAUAAGCACCGGCUAACUCUGUGCCAGCCGCCGCCGUAACAC